AACCAUGCAGAUAGAAUGGCAUUAUUCUAUUGGUUAGAGCCUUGAAGGGCUUUUCUUGUGAAACACACUACUGUACACUAUGAUGUAUCACUGGAAUAACAUUGCCAAACUGAUGCACAACUCCAAUGGAGAUUGAUCCAUGAAAUCAAGGGUGAUAUUGCCCAAUGACUGUGCCAAACCGAUGCACAACUCCCAUGGGGAUUGAUCCAUGAACUCAAGGGUGAUAUUGCCCAGUUCUUCAUGGUAGAACUGGAGAACAAUCAGAAGUCAAACACUAACUCAUGUUUACACAGAACAAAUACCAUGACAGGUGGCAGAUAGGAAGGUUUUAAUUCUAACAUUACAUCAUAAUGAUAAUAGAUAUAAAGCACUUGAAAUUCACACCAUUUUAACAACCAGCAAU
rnacentral:misc_RNA from 1 species